rnacentral:lncRNA from 1 species
CUUUUGUGAUAUUUUAUUUUCUGACUUUAAAAAUCCAGCUAUAUAUAUAUAUAUACAUAAAAAACAUGAAAUAAAAAGUUCUUAAAUAAAAAUAGAAAAUAUAUGGCAAAUUAUAAAAAAAAAUGCCAUGUAAGCAUGAAAACACAACUUUACAUAUGAUUCAUUGGCAUACUCCUCCUACAUCUCCUUAGUACUUUCUUGUAUAUUACACUGAUAAUGCAUGUUUAAGCAAUUUAGGGUCCGAUGACAACCACUUUUGACUUUAAAAAU